CCUACGGGAGGCAACAGUAGGGAAUUUUCCACAAUGGGCGAAAGCCUGAUGGAGCAAUACCGCGUGCAGGAUGAAGGCCUUCGGGUCGUAAACUGCUUUUAUGUGCGAAGAAUUUGACGGUAACACAUGAAUAAGGAUCGGCUAACUACGUGCCAGCAGCCGCGGUCAUACGUAGGAUCCAAGCGUUAUCCGGAAUUACUGGGCGUAAAGAGUUGCGUAGGUGGCAUUAUAAGUGGAGCGUGAAAGCGUGCGGCUCAACCGCAUUAUUGCGUUCCAAACUGUGAAGCUUGAGUAUGGGAGAGGUAGAUGGAAUUUCUAGUGUAGGAGUGAAAUCCGUAGAUAUUAGAAGGAACACCGAUGGCGUAGGCAGUCUACUGGCCCAUUACUGACACUAAGGCACGAAAGCGUGGGAGCAAACGGGAUUAGAUACCCCGGUAGUCCACGCUGUAAACUAUGGAUGCUAGCUGUGACACACAUCGACCUGUGUCGUAGCGAAGUUAACGCGUUAAGCACGUCCGCCGUCGGGAGGUACGGUCGCGAGAAGUUAAACGUAACGUAAAUUAGAAGUUAGUUACGGCGUGAGACGNGCCGACGGACGACGACGAGGGAGGAGG
rnacentral:rRNA from 1 species